UCUGGCUAUGAUGACACACUUGCCCUCACUGAGAACAGGUGUUCAGCGAUGAGAAUUUCAAUUCUGUACUCAACUGAUCUGAGCCAAA
ensembl:snoRNA